CAGUCGCCGCGGUAAUACGUAGGUCCCGAGCGCUGUCCGGAUUUAUUGGGCGUAAAGCGAGCGCAGGCGGUUAGAUAAGUCUGAAGUUAAAGGCUGUGGCUUAACCAUAGUACGCUUUGGAAACUGUUUAACUUGAGUGCAAGAGGGGAGAGUGGAAUUCCAUGUGUAGCGGUGAAAUGCGUAGAUAUAUGGAGGAACACCGGUGGCGAAAGCGGCUCUCUGGUCUGUCACUGACGCUGAGGCUCGAAAGCGUGGGUAGCGAACAGGAUUAGAUACCCCGGUAGUCCCUGUCUCUUAUACA
rnacentral:rRNA from 1 species